AAGUCGUAACAAGGUCUCCGUUGGUGAACCAGCGGAGGGAUCAUUACCGAGUUUACAACUCCCAAACCCCUGUGAACAUACCUUCUGUUGCUUCGGCGGGAUCGCCCCGGCGCCUUCGGGCCCGGACCCAGGCGCCCGCCGGAGGACCCAAACUCUUGUCUCAAUGAGAAUCUUCUGAGUGAUACAAGCAAAUAAAUUAAAA
rnacentral:misc_RNA from 1 species